rnacentral:rRNA from 1 species
UGCCAGCAGCCGCGGUAAUACGAAGGGUGCUAGCGUUGUUCGGAAUUAUUGGGCGUAAAGCGCGUGUAGGCGGUUCGUUAAGUCUGAUGUGAAAGCCCGGGGCUCAACCCCGGAAGUGCAUUGGAAACUGGCGAACUUGAGUACGGGAGAGGAAAGUGGAAUUCUUAGUGUAGCGGUGGAAUGCGUAGAUAUUAAGAGGAAUACCAAUGGCGAAGGCAACUUUCUGGAUAGAUACUGACACUGAGGUGCGAAAGUGUGGGGAGCAAACAGGAUUAGAUA